GUUGAAGUGACCGCACGCACUAAUCUGUAUAUUGCUAAAAUGUCUUGACAUUAGCGUUAUUCUGCAGAGGAAGAUGAAGGCUUGGAUAUGGAGGGCCAACAGAAAGGAUGAUAAAGAACAUCUCGUGGAGCUGAGAAGACAAGUCUGCUGUCGAAACUUCUCUUCAAAAAUAAAAUAAACAAAUAAAUAAAACAUUACAGAAACAAACUUUGAAUGUGGUACUCCUAUAAAGAACAAAAUCAAUACCUAGAUGGACUUCCAUGGACCAUGCCCAAGAAAUAUGUAAGAAUAAGACUUGCAGCACUGCAUCUCCAACCAAGAAGCAAAAGUGUAUUACAAUAGAGACAAAAUUAGAAUAGCAGUGGAAAUAUAAGAAAUUAUUAAGUAUUGUUACAUUUGCAGUGAAAAUAUAACAAAUGAAAGAUGUAUGUUCACAUGUUGUCAGGUUUGUAAUAAAUUUGAAAUAUUAAAAGUGUA
rnacentral:lncRNA from 1 species